GACGAACGCUGGCGGCGUGCUUAACACAUGCAAGUCGAACGGAAAGGCCCUGCUUUUGUGGGGUGCUCGAGUGGCGAACGGGUGAGUAACACGUGAGUAACCUGCCCUUGACUUUGGGAUAACUUCAGGAAACUGGGGCUAAUACCGGAUAGGAGCUACUGCCGCAUGGUGGGGGUUGGAAAGUUUCGGCGGUUGGGGAUGGACUCGCGGCUUAUCAGCUUGUUGGUGGGGUAGUGGCUUACCAAGGCUUUGACAGGUAGCCGGCCUGAGAGGGUGACCGGCCACAUUGGGACGGAGAUACGGCCCAGACUCCUACGGGAGGCGGCAGUGGGGAAUAUUGCACAAUGGGCGGAAGCCUGAUGCAGCAACGCCGCGUGCGGGAUGACGGCCUUCUGGUUGUAAACCGCUUUCGCCUGUGACGAAGCGUGAGUGACGGUAAUGGGUAAAGAAGCACCGGCUAACUACGUG
rnacentral:rRNA from 1 species